GACGAACGCUGGCGGCGUGCUUAACACAUGCAAGUCGAACGGAAAGGCCCUGCUUUUGUUGGGUUCUCGAGUGGCGAACGGGUGAGUAACACGUGAGUAACCUGCCCUUGACUUUGUGAUAACUUCAGGAAACUGGGGCGAAUACCGGAUAGGAGCUCCUGCUGCAUGGUGGGGGUUGGAAAGUUUCGGCGGUUGGGGAUGGACUCGCGGGUUAUCAGCUGGUUUGUGGGGUAGUGGCUUACCAAGGCUUUGACGGGUAGCCGGCAUGAGAGGGUGACCGGCCACAUUGGGACUGAGAUACGGACCAGACUCGUACGGGAGGCAGCAGUGGGGAAUAUUGCACAAUGGGCGGAAGCCUGAUGCAGCAACGCCGCGUGCGGGAUGACGGCCUUCGGGUUGUAAACCGAUUUCGCCUGUGACGAAGCGUGAGUGACGGUAAUGGGUAAAGAAGCACCGGCUAACUACGUG
rnacentral:rRNA from 1 species